rnacentral:piRNA from 1 species
UCAUGGUUCUGUAAUGAGGAUGGUGUUC